rnacentral:rRNA from 1 species
UACGUAGGUGGCGAGCGUUGUCCGGAUUUACUGGGCGUAAAGGGAGCGUAGGCGGAUUUUUAAGUGAGAUGUGAAAUACUCGGGCUCAACUUGAGUGCUGCAUUUCAAACUGGAAGUCUAGAGUGCAGGAGAGGAGAAUGGAAUUCCUAGUGUAGCGGUGAAAUGCGUAGAGAUUAGGAAGAACACCAGUGGCGAAGGCGAUUCUCUGGGCUGUAACUGACGCUGAGGCUCGAAAGCGUGGGGAGCAAACAGG